rnacentral:rRNA from 1 species
UACGGGGGGGGCAAGCGUUGUUCGGAAUUACUGGGCGUAAAGGGCGCGCAGGCGGCUCUUCAAGUCAGCCGUGAAAUCUCCAGGCUUAACCUGGAAGGGUCGGUUGAUACUGUCGAGCUAGAGUGUAGAAGAGGCAACUGGAAUUCCGUGCGUAGCGGUGAAAUGCGUAGAUAUACGGAGGAACACCUGCGGCGAAGGCGGGUUGCUGGGCUAACACUGACGCUGAGGCGCGAAAGCUAGGGUAGCAAACGGG